rnacentral:rRNA from 1 species
CCUGGCUCAGAACGAACGCUGGCGGCAGGCUUAACACAUGCAAGUCGAGCGCUCUCUUCGGAGGGAGCGGCGGACGGGUGAGUAACGCGUGGGAACAUACCCGACACUAAGGAAUAGCCUCUGGAAACGGAGAGUAAUACCUUAUACGCCCUACGGGGGAAAGAUUUAUCGGUGACGGAUUGGCCCGCGUUAGAUUAGGUAGUUGGUGGGGUAACGGCCCACCAAGCCGACGAUCUAUAGCUGGUUUGAGAGGAUGAUCAGCCACACUGGGACUGAGACACGGCCCAGACUCCUACGGGAGGCAGCAGUGGGGAAUCUUAGACAACGGGGGAAACCCUGAUCUAGCCAUGCCGCGUGUGUGAUGAAGGCCCUAGGGUCGUAAAGCACUUUCGCCAGGGAUGAUAAUGACAGUACCUGGUAAAGAAACCCCGGCUAACUCCGUGCCAGCAGCCGCGGUAAUACGGAGGGGGUUAGCGUUGUUCGGAAUUACUGGGCGUAAAGCGCGCGUAGGCGGAUUAGUCAGUCAGAGGUGAAAUCCCAGGGCUCAACCCUGGAACUGCCUUUGAUACUGCUAGUCUUGAGUUCGAGAGGGGGUGAGUGGGAAUUCCGAGUGUAGAGGUNGAAAUUCGUAGAAUAUUCGGGAGGAACCACCAGGUGGCGGAAGGCGGGCUCACUGGCCUCGAUUACUUGACCGCUGAGGUGGCGAAAGUGUGGGGGGAGCAAACAGGAUUAAGAUACCCUUGGUAGUCCAACACCCGUAAACGAAUGAAUGCCAGUCGUCGGCAAGCAUGCUUGUCGGGUGACCACACCUAACCGGAUUAAGCAUUCCGCCUGGGGAGUACGGGUCGCAGGAUUA